rnacentral:rRNA from 1 species
AGCGAACGCUGGCGGCAGGCUUAACACAUGCAAGUCGAGCGGGCAUCCUUGUGGUGUCAGCGGCAGACGGGUGAGUAACGCGUGGGAACGUGCCCUUCGGUUCGGAAUAACUCAGGGAAACUUGAGCUAAUACCGGAUACGUGCGAGAGCAGAAAGGUUUAUCUGCCGAAGGAUCGGCCCGCGUCUGAUUAGCUAGUUGGUGAGGUUAUGGCUCACCAAGGCGACGAUCAGUAGCUGGUCUGAGAGGAUGAUCAGCCACACUGGGACUGAGACACGGCCCAGACUCCUACGGGAGGAAGCAGUGGGGAAUAUUGGAAAAUGGGGGCAACCCUGAUCCAGCCAUGCCGCGUGAGUGAUGACGGCCUUAGGGUUGUAAAGCUCUUUUCUCCGGGACGAUAAUGACGGUACCGGAGGAAUAAGCCCCGGCUAACUUCGUG